rnacentral:rRNA from 1 species
UACGUAGGGUGCAAGCGUUGUCCGGAAUUAUUGGGCGUAAAGAGCUCGUAGGCGGUUUGUUGCGUCGGCUGUGAAAUCCCGAGGCUCAACCUCGGGUCUGCAGUCGAUACGAGCAAACUAGAGUGUUGCAGGGGAGACUGGAAUUCCAGGUGUAGCGGUGAAAUGCGUAGAUAUCUGGAGGAACACCGGUGGCGAAGGCGGCAUCCUGGACCGAUACUGACGCUGAGGAGCGAAAGCCAGGGGAGCAAACGGG